AUUGAACGCUGGCGGCAGGCCUAACACAUGCAAGUCGAACGAGUGGCGGACGGGUGAGUAAUGUCUGGGAAACUGCCUGAUGGAGGGGGAUAACUACUGGAAACGGUAGCUAAUACCGCAUACCAUCGGAUGUGCCCAGCUGGGAUUAGCUAGUAGGGGGGGUAAAGGCUCACCUAGGCGACGAUCCCUCGCUGGUCUGAGAGGAUGACCAGCAACACGGGAAGUGAGACACGGUCCAGAAUCCUACGGUAGGCAGAAGUGGGGAAGAUUGGACAAUGGGGGCAAGCCGGAUGCAGCCAUGCCGCGUGGAUGAAGAAGGCUUUCGGGUUGAAAAGUACUUUCAGCGGGGAGGCGUUACCCGCAGAAGAAGCACCGGCUAACUCCGUGCCAGCAGCCGCGGUAAUAC
rnacentral:rRNA from 1 species